AGGAUUACUAGAUUCAUCUCGUGACAGACCAGAAGUGGUUGAAUUAGAAGCUGUGAUAACAGAAUCUGUUUUGUCAUCUAAUAGUGCACGACUACCCAUCCUUUCCUCUGUGUUGGACAAAUUAUUCUUCAGCUUAGGAGAACUCCCUUGACUAGGACGACAAAUAGGAGAUAGCUUAUUUCGGAUAGAUGGUGACAGUGAGAAGUUAUACUGCUCAUGUCCUUGUUGAUUUAAGACGCCUUCCUUGGAUAACGGGGAUUUCAAACUUGAGGACGAUAAAGGGGAACUAGACGGCUCGUUCAAAACUCUAUUUACUAGAGGACUUAAUUGUGGACUUGAAAAUGAAUUAAGCAAAGCUGGUACGUUUGCUCCAUUAUUCAAUGGAUAUUUAUUAGCACGUUGAGAAGGAGGUGUUGCAAAAGGAUAAUGAUGCACCGGUGAAUUGGCUCUACUAAGAGAAUGCCGAGCAUUUGGAUUUAAUCCAAAAUUGUUGGAAUUACUUAGGAGUGAAGAUGGAGAAUGUAAACCAUUUGGCUUUCUACCAAAAUCAGUUAAGUUUACGGAAUUAUUAAGUGUUCUAUUUAAAGGAUUAGGCUCAAGAGAAAUUAAAGGGUUGACGGAAUUAAAAGAUGAAAAUAACGAAGAAUUAAGCAGAUUAGAAGAAGCAUUGCGCUCCGAUAAAUUAUUUGUGUUCUUAAGGCCUAUGGGAGCUUGCCGCAAAGCAUUAGGUACAGAAUCUAGGAGAUGUGAAGAAAGCUUAUCCUCAUCGUUUACGAGAUCGCCUUUUUUUUCAAAAAGGCCAAGUUGAGAAGAAGUAGUACAACCAUCAGAACCCUCUUUAGUCUGAUUAGGUGCAAAGAAAGCAGCGAUCUUAGCUUCUCUUAAUCUCCUUUCUUUCUCUUCUGAUUCUUUUUCAAGUAACUCACGACGCCGACGUUCCUCUUCUUCUUUGUCUAAUUUUUCCCUUCGCUUCCUUUCUUCCAAAAUACGUUUUUCUUCUUCUUCUCUUAGUCGUUGUUCUCUCGCCAUUUUUUCACGGUCAGCCUCUUGUUGCUGCUUCUUCAGUUUCUUCUCUCUUUCCUUCUGCUUUUGCUUUUCCUCUCUUUUCUGACGCUCAAGUUCUUGCUGCUUUUUCUCCU